rnacentral:rRNA from 1 species
UACAGAGGGUGCGAGCGUUGUUCGGAAUUAUUGGGCGUAAAGCGCGUGUAGGCGGCUUCGUAAGUUGGGUGUGAAAGCCCUCGGCUUAACCGAGGAAGUGCGCCCAAAACUGCGAGGCUUGAGUACCGGAGAGGAUGGCGGAAUUCCCGGUGUAGAGGUGAAAUUCGUAGAUAUCGGGAGGAACACCAGCGGCGAAGGCGGCCAUCUGGACGGAUACUGACGCUGAGACGCGAAAGCGUGGGGAGCAAACAGG